rnacentral:rRNA from 1 species
CCUAAGUAAAGUGGCGCACGGGUGAGUAACACGUGGAUCAUCUACCUUUUAGUGGGGAAUACCUCUGGGAAACCGGAGACAAUACCGCAUAAGCCUGUAAAGGGAAAGCAGCAAUGCGCUGAAAGAGGAGUCCGCGGCCGAUUAGCUAGUUGGCGGGGUAAUGGCCCACCAAGGCGAAGAUCGGUAGCCGGCCUGAGAGGGCGCACGGACACACUGGAACUGAAACACGGUCCAG